rnacentral:rRNA from 1 species
GGGGGGGGGGGGGGGGGGGGGGGGGGGGGGCGGGGCGGGGGGGAAGGGGGGGGGGGUGGGGGGUGCUCGAGGGGGGAACGGGGGGGUAGCACGUGGGUGACCUGCCCUUGACGUUGGGAUAACUUCAGGAAGAUGGGGCUCAUACGGGGUGGGAGGUCCUGCUGCAUGGUGGGGGUGGGCAAGGUUCGGCGGUUGGGGAUGGACUCGCGGCGUAGCAGCUUGUUGGUGGGGUAGUGGCUUACCAAGGCUUUGACGGGUAGCCGGCCUGAGAGGGUGACCGGCCACAUUGGGACUGAGAUACGGCCCAGACUCCUACGGGAGGCAGCAGUGGGGAAUAUUGCACAAUGGGCGGAAGCCUGAUGCAGCAACGCCGCGUGCGGGAUGACGGCCUUCGGGUUGUAAACCGCUUUCGCCUGUGACGAAGCGUGAGUGACGGUAAUGGGUAAAGAAGCACCGGCUAACUACGUG